rnacentral:rRNA from 1 species
GAUCCUGGCUCAGGACGAACGCUGGCGGCGUGCCUAACACAUGCAAGUCGAGCGAGAAUCUUUCAUUGGAACCCUUCGGGGUGAAGAAGGAAGAGGAGAGCGGCGGACGGGUGAGUAACGCGUGAGCAACCUGCCUUAAGGAGGGGGAUAACACAGGGAAACCUGUGCUAAUACCGCAUAAAAUAUAAUUACCGCAUGGUAGAUAUAUCAAAACUCCGGUGCCUUAAGAUGGGCUCGCGUCCAAUUAG